rnacentral:rRNA from 1 species
UACGGAGGGGGCUAGCGUUGUUCGGGAUUACUGGGCGUAAAGCGCACGUAGGCGGCUUUGCAAGUUAGAGGUGAAAGCCCGGGGCUCAACUCCGGAAUUGCCUUUAAAACUGCAUCGCUAGAAUUGUGGAGAGGUAAGUGGAAUUCCGAGUGUAGAGGUGAAAUUCGUAGAUAUUCGGAAGAACACCAGUGGCGAAGGCGACUUACUGGACACAUAUUGACGCUGAGGUGCGAAAGCGUGGGGAGCAAACAGG